rnacentral:misc_RNA from 1 species
UUUGUGGAGUCCCCACUCUGUCAUUGGCUGUUGCAGAUUGUUGCAAUCCCAGAUGGAAAGAUUGGUUAGGUUUGGUGGCAAUCCCCCUUGAGGAAAGGACUCUAGGCAUCCACAGUUAUAGAUGAAAAGACAGGUUAGGUUUGGUAGCAUUCGCUCUUCUGGAAAGGAUACCAGACCUCUACAAUUAUAUAAUUUGAGAGUUGUGAGGUUUUGCAUCUGAUUAGGCAGUGACCUAAAAUUCUUGCAUCGAGAGAUGAUUAAAGAGCUAAGGGAGUGGCUAGGCAAUCCUGUUUCUUGGAAGGACUCUAAUCGUGGACAGUCUUCUAUGUUUAGCUUUUCGAGAUGAGAUAAACCAUGGAAUACUGACUCUAAUAACUGUG